UAGAACCUUUCUUAAACAGUGGAACAAGAUUAGUUAUUCUCCUAUCCUCCAGUGUCUUGCUCGUCGCUAAGGAUGAUAUCUCUACUAGGGCCCCUACAGUCUGUUAAAUUAGUGUAUGUAGCCACAAAGGAAAAAUUAUCAAAGGAUAUCAUUAAAAACCAGAAAAGAGAAGAUACCCUAAAUCUGAUUGGUUAAAAAAUCCACAUUGUUGUUCUUUCAUCAUGAAGAAUUGAUCAGCAAAACGAAGCACAAAACAUGGCGUCAAUCGGAAGGCAGAAUUCACAGAGUAGCUGCGAUAGCAUAUCUCUAUUGGAGCACUGCUACUUUUGUAUAUCCUCAUGCUAUUGGGUCAGAUCCUGUAGAGAAUUUGCAACCUGGAGUGGUCAUUUAAAGAUUACCAACAAUGUCACUAUCACGUAAAGAGACAAAAGAAUGGAUGGACAACACUAAGGAGGCAUAGAACACCUAUAUCCUCAGGAUAAAGUUGCUACUCAUCUGUACUUCUCAACCUCAAUAAACCCCUGGCUUUCUCAUUUCA